GCUGGUGCUCUGGUUAAAGACUGCGAGCUGAGACUGCGAGCUGAGGGGUUGCGAGUGGAGACUGCGAGCUGAGAGGCUGCAAGAGCGGAGGCGGCUGCGAGAGCGGAGGCGAGAUGCCGCGACCGAAGAAGAGGGCGACGAUAGCCAAACGGCUAUAUGCACAGAGAUGUGCAAGUACAGAGGCUGCACCGCUUCCUCUUAAAAUAAGUCAAGCAGAGGCUGCACCGCUUCCUCUUAAAAUAAGUCAAGCAGAGUUUCCGCCACUCUCUCUUGAAAAAAGGGCAGAGGCUGCACAACCCCCUCUUAAAACAUGCAGGGUCGAGGUAACGCCGCUUCCUCGUA